UACGGGGGGGGCAAGCGUUGUUCGGAAUUACUGGGCGUAAAGGGGACGUAGGCGGCCAACUAAGUCCGACGUGAAAUCCCCAGGCUUAACCUGGGAACUGCGUCGGAUACUGGAUGGCUUGAAUCCGGGAGAGGGAUGCGGAAUUCCAGGUGUAGCGGUGAAAUGCGUAGAUAUCUGGAGGAACACCGGUGGCGAAGGCGGCAUCCUGGACCAACACUGACGCUGAGUGAGCGAAAGCCAGGGGAGCAAACGGG
rnacentral:rRNA from 1 species